UACGGAGGGUGCGAGCGUUGUCCGGAAUCAUUGGGCGUAAAGGGCGCGUAGGUGGCCCGGUCAGUCUUUGGUGAAAGCGCGGGGCUCAACCCUGCGUCGGCCAGGGAUACUGCCGCGGCUCGAGCACUGUAGAGGCAGGCGGAAUUCCGGGUGUAGCGGUGGAAUGCGUAGAUAUCGGGAGGAACACCAGUGGCGAAGGCGACUUCCUGGCCUGUUCUUGACGCUGAGGCGCGAAAGCUAGGGGAGCAAACGGG
rnacentral:rRNA from 1 species